rnacentral:rRNA from 1 species
UACGUAGGGUGCGAGCGUUAAUCGGAAUUACUGGGCGUAAAGCGUGCGCAGGCGGUUCGUUAUGUCUGGUGUGAAAGCCCCGGGCUUAACCUGGGAAUUGCAUUGGAAACUAGCGGGCUGGAGUGUGGCAGAGGGGGGUGGAAUUCCACGUGUAGCAGUGAAAUGCGUAGAGAUGUGGAGGAACACCGAUGGCGAAGGCAGCCCCCUGGGCUAACACUGACGCUCAUGCACGAAAGCGUGGGGAGCAAACAGG